AUGAACGCUGGCGGCGUGCCUAAUACAUGCCAGUCGAGCGAACAGACGAGGAGCUUGCUCCUCUGACGUUAGCGGCGGACGGGUGAGUAACACGUGGAUAACCUACCUAUAAGACUGGGAUAACUUCGGGAAACCGGAGCUAAUACCGGAUAAUAUAUUGAACCGCAUGGUUCAAUAGUGAAAGACGGUUUUGCUGUCACUUAUAGAUGGAUCCGCGCCGCAUUAGCUAGUUGGUAAGGUAACGGCUUACCAAGGCAACGAUGCGUAGCCGACCUGAGAGGGUGAUCGGCCACACUGGAACUGAGACACGGUCCAGACUCCUACGGGAGGCAGCAGUAGGGAAUCUUCCGCAAUGGGCGAAAGCCUGACGGAGCAACGCCGCGUGAGUGAUGAAGGUCUUCGGAUCGUAAAACUCUGUUAUUAGGGAAGAACAAAUGUGUAAGUAACUAUGCACGUCUUGACGGUACCUAAUCAGAAGGACACGGCUAACUACGUG
rnacentral:rRNA from 1 species